rnacentral:rRNA from 1 species
GAUGAACGCUGGCGGCGUGCCUAACACAUGCAAGUCGAGCGGUAGAUAUUGGAAUGAAACUUCGGUCGAAUGAAGAUAUUGAGAGCGGCGGACGGGUGAGUAACGCGUAGGCAACCUGCCCCAUACAGAGGGAUAGCCUCGGGAAACCGGGAUUAAAACCUCAUAACGCCAAGAGUUCACAUGGACACUUGGUCAAAGAUUUAUCGGUAUGGGAUAGGCCUGCGUCUGAUUAGCUAGUUGGUAAGGUAACGGCUUACCAAGGCAACGAUCAGUAGCCGACCUGAGAGGGUAAUCGGCCACAUUGGAACUGAGACACGGUCCAAACUCCUACGGGAGGCAGCAGUGGGGAAUAUUGCACAAUGGGCGAAAGCCUGAUCCAGCCAUGCCGCGUGAGUGAUGAAGGCCUUCGGGUUGUAAAGCCCUUUCGGCGGGGAAGAUAAUGACGGUACCCGCAGAAGAAGCCCCGGCUAACUUCGUGCCAGCAGCCGCCGCGGUAA